UUUUUAAAGAAACUAGGCUUGUAUUAUACAGAACAAAAAAAAGGAGGUCCAGUACAAGAUAAAUAGAAACCAAGCAAGACAAAAAAUGAAAACCAACCAGAUCAAAUCCUAAAAAAGCCCAAUACAUGGCCCACGCAACAAAUAAAAACCCUAACAAACGGAGAUGAUCAGAUAUCAAAAAGCUGAAUGGCAGCAGAAACAGUUGGAAACCAAAAGAUCUAUCGAGAAAGAAAACUAGAAAGGCUAACACACUAACUACAAGCACAAAGAGAAAUAGUGGCGAUCCAAACAAGGGCACAGAGGCAUCGCCGGAGCAAAGAGAAAUCUUCCGAAAAACCAACCCCAAACCCCUAAACACUCCCAAAAAAAACAACAAAAAACCCACGAAAAGCGCCCCCACCCCUCUCCAUUGCCCCUAAAACACCUCACAAACUCGAGAGAUGAUCACACUUUACCACCCGUUUCAUAAAAUCGAGAACACCUCUGCACAUAUAAAUUUCAUAUCUUGGAUAUAAGCGUCGAGGAUCGAUAGAUCAGGUCGGGAAGAUUGGACCUUACAAAGUACCGUGAGGGAGUCGCCUUCAACAAUCACAUAUGGGAAACCAAGAGCCAGGCCUAAGUGGACCACAUGAAGACAAGUAGUAGGAAGAGCUACAAAAGCCGAAGGUAUGUGUUUACAGACCACUGUGUGUGAACCCAAUACAAUCCCAUGUCUAUUUCUGAUAACAACUCCCGCGCAAGAUGUCUUAGAAGGGGAAUGAAAAUCCAGCAUCAAAGUUGUUUUUCAAACAGCAUCUAUUUGGGGGUUGCCACUGCUCAACCCCAAUCAGGCGCCUAGGAAGCUUCACCUGUGCCAUAUCUAAUUCUAGAAGGGUAAACUUGAAUGAUGUAAAAUAACCAGUUCUGCAAGCAUGCCUCCAAAAGCUCACUAGGCUAAGUUAUGUGCCGGUCCACCCAUAUACCAACAACAGAGGGACAGUCACAAAAGAUGUUCUUUAAAGUUUUAGCAGCAGCCGAGCAUUGAGCGCAACAAGCAUUAAAGGGCAGCUGUUGGUUGUACAGAUUAAAGAAACUAGGGAUGAAAUUAUGGAAUAUACGCCAUGUUGUAAAUCUUUUUGAUUAAAAAUACUAGGUUGUAUUAAAAACAAGAAUCCAACAAGAAAAGCCCAAAAAACUAAACAAAGCCCAAUUCAAAAACAAAACUAAAAACAGUACCAAAAAAGAAACCGAAGCAAACUAAACGUUAAAAAUGAAAAAAAAAACAUAACAAAAGCAACAGCAACCCAGCCUCAUGAGUUGUCAUCUUCUAGAGAAUUUUAAAAAUAUCUGCACCUCAACAAACAAGCUCCUGGAGAAGACAAUCUGAUGAAAUUAUAAUCGAUUCAAUUUCUUCUCACAAACCACACAUUCAUUUUAAAACUUGACUAGGUUACGGGUUUCAUCUUUAUCCACGAUCUAUUUCUGAUUCAGUGAUUUCCUGACCAACAUAUCCAUUAACAAGAUUUCUUUUGCCCCUCAUGAAUCCAUUGAUUUCUGCUAGUCCAGAUAGCCCAAAUGGCACAAACAAAUAUUCGGCACACAUCCACCCUACUGUUUAGCAAAACCCAGAACAAUCAUGAAAAAGUGUUCCCUUAUUUCCAACCCUUGUAUAUAUCUUGGGUAAACAACCUCAGUAGUUAAUCUCUUUGGUUGAAGAUUCACUAAAGUAGGAAGAUAAUUAAAAGUAGUUUUCCAAGUUGUAAUUUUUAUUUUAGAAGGAAGAUCAAGGUUCCAAAGUUUCUUUUAGCAUUUUGUAUUGUCAAUCGGCUUGUAAUUAUUUGGGUUAUUAAAAUUACCUUGUAAAAGUAA